rnacentral:rRNA from 1 species
AUAAUACUCCAUAGAUUAGAGACACUGGAAUGUUCUUUAGUCGAAAGUUCUGGCGCCUUAGGAUGGAUCUGCGGUCGAUUAGGUUGUUGUUGGGGUAACGGCCCAACAAGCCUGUAAUCGAUACGGGUUGUGGGAGCAAGAGCCCGGAGAUGGAAUCUGAGACACGAUUCCAGGCCCUACGGGGCGCAGCAGGCGCGAAAACUUUACAAUGCAGGAAACUGUGAUAAGGGAACUCCGAGUGCCCGUAUACGCGGGCUGUCCAGGUGUUUAAAAAUCAUCUGAAGAAAGGGCCGGGCAAGACCGGUGCCAGCCGCCGCGGUAAUACCGGCGGCUCGAGUGGUGGCCACUAUUAUUGGGCUUAAAGCGUCCGUAGCUGGACCAAUAAGUCUCUUGGGAAAUCCGCCGGCUCAACCGGCGGGCGUCUAAGGGAUACUGUUAGUCUAGGGACCGGGAGAGGUGAGAGGUACUCCGGGGGUAGGAGUGAAAUCCUGUAAUCCCCGGGGGACCACCGAUGGCGAAGGCAUCUCACCAGAACGGCUCCGACAGUGAGGGACGAAAGCUGGGGGAGCGAACCGGAUUAGGUACCCGGGUAGUCCCAGCCGUAAACUAUGCGCGUUAGGUGU